rnacentral:lncRNA from 1 species
UCACUCUUCCCACCUUUGUUUCCAUGCCUUCCUCUCUCCCACCCAUGAAAUUAUACUUUGGUCCCUGAUCUCCAUUCUUUGGAGCCUCAGUGUUCAGCCCAACCUGGAGAACCAGAGCAGUAAAGUCUCUUUCUCUUUUCUUCCAAGUAUGCUUAUAAGGCUGAGCCAUAUAUUGCUUCUGAAUAUAAGACAGUGCAUGAAGAGCUGACUAAAUCCAUGACCACCAUUCUCAAGCCUUCUGCCGAUUUCCUCACGAGCAACAAACUCCUAAAGUAUUCUUGGUUUUUCUUUGAUGUGCUGAUAAAAUCCAUGGCUCGGCAUUUGAUAGAAAACUCCAAAGUUAAGGUAUGUUACUCCAUGUGGAGGCUUGUGUCUCCUUCAUUGUGUGUGCAGCUAACAUUUCUGACUGUUUUAUAUGUGCCAGUUCUGGGACUAUCCUGAUUGCUUUACAAGUAAUAAAAUAUUAUAGCUUUAUGACUCUCCUGUGAGGGAGAUACU